GGGGCUAAGUAAUCGGUCCCAAACUCAAACAAAAAAGUAGGGUUUUAAAAUAAUAAUAAUAAUAAUAAUAAAUUAAAAGAAUUUCAAUUUUCAACACACGCACACAUUCUACUUCUACAACUUUGUAUAUUUUACGUUUCAAAUUUAUACAAUUCAAUUUUAACGAAAAUGAAGAAGCAAUUUCCUCAAAUUUCAAGUAAUGUCAAUGAAGUGUGCUGCCAAAUAUAUGGAGUGUGUUUGGUUUAUGUUUGACAGACACUUCAUUGAUGAUACAUGGAAGAACAUGAGAUUAUCCAAUUUAUUUUUAAGUCAAGCAUCCAAAAACGAGUAUAUUUGGCAGCACGCUUUAUUGACGAUGCCCAGAUUGGAAUUUAAGAAUAUGAAUUCUUUGUUUUUGGAUGUUUGAUUUAAAAAAAUAAAUAAAUAAAUUGUAAACCUAACAAGUUGCUCUUGUACAAUUUUAAUUUCACCUACUCUCUAAAAUAACAGGUCCCAAUCCCAAAUAAAAUGAGAGUUUAA
rnacentral:lncRNA from 1 species